AACUUUUUUGUAAAACACAUGAAAAAUAAUUAUAAUUACAUGUUUUAACCUAAUUAUUUAUAUAUUAGUCAUAUGAUGUCAGUAGUUUUUAAGUCAACUGUUAAUGCAUGUUUUUGUUAUAUUCUUUAACUUAAUAAAGUUUAAGAAUAUAGCGAAAACAUGCAUUUUCUCAAUUAUCCAUAUCAAUAGCUCAAAUAUUUUUUUGAUAACUAUAAACUUGACGUUGAACACGAGGCGCUCUUGACUAAUGAUACCUAGUCUUAGACAGAUAUAUUAUUACGGUUAUACUAAGUCCAAAGCAGGUGAGAUGUCCGGCAUGCGUAUUAUCAUUAGGAGUGGGACAACAUACACCUCUCCGGAAAGUAACGUCUGCUUAGAGUCUUCCAACGUGUUUUAAUUCAGUUCAAGUCGUGACUGGGUCAGCACUACAACCGAGUACUGUGUACUUAUUAGUACACGGUAUACAGCAUACGAAUCGUUUACUUACUUUAGUAAAAGUUUACUCAUUGAAAUUUAAACAUUUUGCCAAAAUUAUCUUUUUAGUAAUGUUAACAAAGAAAUUCAUUACAGCGAUGGUAAGGACUACAUGAGCUCGCCUACAAAAAAUGUGAAGUCAUUGUAAAAGUAAUAUAAUUAUAUUUUUUCAAUGAAGAAGAUCCAAAGAAUAAUUAAAUGCUUAUUAUAUAAAAAAAAUAAUUAUUUGAACUACUGAUUUUGAAAAAAUUAUUCUGUAAAAA